UCGUCGGCCUGUAUAUCAAUUACCAAAAGAAAAAAGCUAAAGGGCAAAAAAAUGAGAGAAGGUUGAGUAACAGAAGGAACAGAAUAUUGCAGAAGGGAAAGAGAGGAGGACGACCACCAAAGGGUGCAAAAACGCCGCCGUCAAGCCUAUACAAGAAUAACGAACCAGAAGCUCCGGAUUUUUGUUAGCUUACGCUGUUUAUAUCAGUUCGCCGUCGUUUGUUAGCCUUUUCUGUUCAUUGUCUUCGUCGAGCCUUAGGAGAUCAAAGUCAAUGAUGCUGGGCGUUGUAAGGCGAAAAGUGGCUUCUGAUGCUUCUUCUGCUUUGAUUAAAAGGAAAUCAUGGCAUUGGAGUCGGCCUGUGGUUUCUACGCCUAGAGUUUCUACUGCUGUAGCUGAAGAGGUAACUCGCUGCUUUCUUUUCCAAUUC